AGCGAACGCUGGCGGCAGGCCUAACACAUGCAAGUCGAACGAAGUCUUCGGACUUAGUGGCGGACGGGUGAGUAACACGUGGGAACGUGCCGUUAGGUUCGGAAUAACUCAGGGAAACUUGUGCUAAUACCGAAUGUGCCCUUCGGGGGAAAGAUUUAUCGCCUUUAGAGCGGCCCGCGUCUGAUUAGCUAGUUGGUGAGGUAAAGGCUCACCAAGGCUACGCUCAGUAGCUGGUCUGAGAGGAUGACCAGCCACAUUGGGACUGAGACACGGCCCAAACUCCUACGGGAGGCAGCAGUGGGGAAUCUUGCGCAAUGGGCGAAAGCCUGACGCAGCCAUGCCGCGUGGAUGAUGAAGGUCUUAGGAUUGUAAAAUCCUUUCACCGGUGAAGAUAAUGACUGUAGCCGGAGAAGAAGCCCCGGCUAACUUCGUGCCAGCCGCCGCAGUAAGAC
rnacentral:rRNA from 1 species